GACGAACGCUGGCGGCGUGCUUAACACAUGCAAGUCGAACGGAAAGGCCCUGCUUUUGUGGGGUGCUCGAGUGGCGAACGGGUGAGUAACACGUGAGUAACCUGCCCUUGACUUUGGGAUAACUUCAGGAAACUGGGGCUAAUACCGGAUAGGAGCUCCUGCUGCAUGGUGGGGGUUGGAAAGUUUCGGCGGUUGGGGAUGGACUCGCGGCUUAUCAGCUUGUUGGUGGGGUAGUGGCUUACCAAGGCUUUGACGGGUAGCCGGCCUGAGAGGGUGACCGGCAAAAUUGGGACUGAGAUACGGCCCAGACCCCACGGGGAGGAAGAAGUGGGGAAUAUUGAAAAAGGGGGGGAAGCCGGAUGCAGCACCGCGGCGGGCGGGAUGAGGGCCUUCGGGUUGAAAACCGCUUUGGCCGGUGACGAAGCGUGAGUGCGGGAAAUGGGUAAAGAAGCACCGGCUAAUUCCGU
rnacentral:rRNA from 1 species